rnacentral:misc_RNA from 1 species
UUUCCUCAUGUUCCAUCAGUCAUUGCUCCAUGAGAUAACGUUGGAUGCAAAGCGGCGGGUUCCUGUGUUGCGUACCUAUUGGGAUGGAAAUCGGUUGAUUUCGUUGUGCCUUUUGUCCUCGCUUCCUCUUGGAAGUUCGGGUGGACUUGACGGAAGGGCUUGUGUUCCACGGACGUCUCUCACGAUCGUUUCGAUGGGCCACGAGCAUCUUCUCGUUCUCUCGGAUGCGGAAAGUCCCUCAUGGGUGUUGGUCAUUGGCCCUCGGUCCCGAAUCUGUAAGAAAGCUAACGGGCAUAGCUUUACAUCGGAAUGACGCUCUCGCCUCGUCUUCGACCAUGCGAAGCUAACGGGCAUAGCUCGUGAUGGGUCGUGCGUGGCGGACGUCGUGAAGGAAUGCUACCUGGUUGAUCCUGCCAGUAGUCAUAUGCUUGUCUCAAAGAUUAAGCCAUGCAUGUGUAAGUAUGAACUAAUUCAGACUGUGAAACUGCC